AGCAGCCGCGGUAAUUCCAGCUCCAAUAGCGUAUAUUAAAGUUGUUGCAGUUAAAAAGCUCGUAGUUGAAUUUCGGGGCUAAUAUGUCGGUCGUACUUUGUACGUACUAGCAUUAUUGGUUUCUCCCUUCUGACGAACCACGAUGUCAUUAAUUUGGUGUCGCGGGAAAUCAGGACUGUUACUUUGAAAAAUUAGAGUGUUUAAAGCAAGCUCGCGCUUGAAUACAUUAGCAUGGAAUAAUGAGAUAGGACGUUUGAUUCUAUUUUGUUGGUUUCUAGGAUCGACGUAAUGAUUAAUAGGGAUAGUUGGGGGCAUUAGUAUUCAAUUGUCAGAGGUGAAAUUCUUGGAUUUAUUGAAGACUAACUACUGCGAAAGCAUUUGCCAAGGAUGUUUUCAUUAAUCAAGAACGAAAGUUAGGGGAUCGAAGACGAUCAGAUACCGUCGUAGUCUUAACCAUAAACUAUGCCGACUAGGGAUCGGAUGAUGUUAAUUUUUAAUG
rnacentral:rRNA from 1 species